rnacentral:lncRNA from 1 species
UUUCUUUUUUAUGCCCCACCUACGAUAGUAGAGGGGCAUUAUGUUUUCUGGUCUGUGCCUCCGUUCGUCCGUCCGUCUGUGCGUCCGUUCGUCCGUCUGUGCGUCCGUUCGCUUCAGGUUAAAGUUUUUGGUCAAGGUAGUUUUUCAAGAAGUUGAAGUCUAAUCAACUUGAAACUUAGUACACAUGUUCGCUAUGAUAUGAUCUUUCCAAUUUUAAUUCCAAAUUAAAGUUUUGACCCCAAUUUCACGGUCCACUGAACAUAGAAAAUGAUAGUGCGAGUGGGGCAUCUGUGUACUUGGGAC